UGCAAGCCUCUGCCUGCCUUCCUGCGCGCCGUUCCCCGCUAGUCGCUGCUGCUGGCGCGCACUCGCCGGGUUUUUCCUCCCACGGCCUCGAGAUGGUCGUGAAUGUGGCACGGAGGAGCCGGGCCUUCCAACCCGGUGGGCCCGAGCUCCGAAAGGCCCCCUCGGCAGUGAGAGGGGCGGGAGCCCGCGGGGGCCGCGCCCUUCUCUCGCUUCGGACUGCGCAACGCUGCGCUCUGUGCUGACAGGCGGAUAAAACGGUCCCAUCAAGGCUGAGAAAAAGCACACCAGAUAUUGGCACAGCGUGGGCAGUGGGGCCUACAGGAUGACUUAGUCUACAGAGAUCCCGGCGUACUUAAGCAGAUGAAGACUCUUAAGAUGACAGAAGGUGAUUUUUCUGGUGAUCGAGGAGUUCCGGGGUCAUGACAGUGAUGAAAUGCAGGGGACCUGGUUGCCCCCAAGUUUCCUGGCAGUGUGUGAUACUGAGGAGGUGAGCUUGUUUCUGGAGCUGUGCUUUAAGAUUCAUGUUACAUGUAAAGCUGUCCUCAUUUGUGACUAUGGACCUAUGGAGUUGGGACAAUCUCUAUGGGAAGCAGAAGGCAAGGACCCCAGUCAUUUUAGGUAGAAACAACAGCAUGCUAAUGCAAAAAAUUAUGCAGUGUGCUACUGAACUUCAGAGGUGAUCAAUAAAAGAAUAAAAAGACUAAUAAAAGUA
rnacentral:antisense_RNA from 1 species